rnacentral:rRNA from 1 species
GAUGAACGCUGGCGGCGUGCCUAAUACAUGCAAGUCGAGCGAGCGGACGCGACGCUUGCUUCUCUGUUGUUAGCGGCGGACGGGUGAGUAACACGUGGAUCCCCUCCCUAUCUUACUGGUAUAACUUCGGGAAACCGGCGCUUAUCCCGGAUAAUCUUUUGAACCGCAUUGUUCAAAAGUAAAAUACGGUCUUUCUGUCACUUCUCGAUGGAUCCGCGCUGCAUUAGCUAGUUGGUAAGGUAACGGCUUACCAAGGCAACGAUGCAUAGCCGACCUGAGAGGGUGAUAGGCCACACGGGAAGUGAGACACGGUCAAGACUCCUACGGGAGGCAGCAGUAGGGAAUCUGACGCAAUGGGCGAGAGCAUGACGGAGCAACGCGGCGUGAGUGAUGAAGGUCUUCGGAUCGUAAAAAUCGGUUAUGAGGGAAGAACAGAUGUGGAAGGAACUGUGCACAGCGUGACGGUACCUAAUCAGAAAGCAACGGCUAACUACGUG